UUGCCUCAUGAAUAAUAUAUGAGAUAAUACCUGCCCAGUGACAUGACAUGUUCAACGGCCGCGGUAUCCUAACCGUGCAAAGGUAGCAUAAUCACUUGCCUAUUAAUUGUAGGCUAGAAUGAAAGGGUUAACGAAAUAAAGACUGUCUCAAUUAGCAAACUAAAAAUUAUUCUCUACCUGAAGAAAAGUAGAUAGCCUCGAAGGACAAGAAGACCCUAUAGAGCUUAAUUUUACUUAUAGGCCUGUACUAUAAAAAUAUUCGGUUGGGGCGACCCAGGGCAAAACAAUCACCCGCACCAUAAAAGAUAUAUUAAUCAAGAAAUUGACCCUUUAAAGAUCAUAAGAACAAGCUACCUUAGGGAUAACAGGCUAAUCCCACUCAAGAGUCCUUAUCAACAGUGGGGUUUGGCACCUCGAUGUUGGCUUAGGGUAUCUAUACAGCGCAAAAGUUAUAUAAAGAUGGUUUGUUCAACCAAUAACACCCCUACAUGAGCUGAGUUCAGACCGGCGUAAGCCAGGUUAGCUUCUAUCCUCGACUACCAUAUUUGCCCCUAGUACGAAAGGACCUGGGUAAAAUAAUCACUUAUACAAAAGAAUACAUGUAACAAAUAAUAAAACAAAUACCUAUAUAAACUAUA
rnacentral:rRNA from 1 species